rnacentral:rRNA from 1 species
UACGUAAGUGGCAAGCGUUAUCCGGAAUCACUGGGUGUAAAGGGUGUGUAGGCGGUAAUGUAAGUUUUGUGUUUAAUGCUAGGGCUUAACCCUGGUUUGGCAUGAAAGACUGCAUUGCUAGAGUGGUGAAGAGGAAACUGGAACUCCAGGUGAAGCGGUGAAAUGUGUAGAUAUCUGGGGGAACACCAAUGGCGAAGGCAGGUUUCUGGUCAUCAACUGACGCUGAGACACGAAAGCGUGGGGAUCAAACGGG